AAGUAUUUAUGUAAAUAAACAUUGUGCCUCUAUGAUAAUGCAGAAAAUCCUAUCAGUUCCAUGUUUGUACUGCUUAACUUCAGGUGAAAGAAAAGUGAUUUUUUUUUUUUUACACUCAUUCUACACAUCUUUUUCCAACUCUGUGAAUUGAUAGAGCACAUCUGUGCUACUUGAGAACAAAAACGUAUGAAGUCAUAGUCCCUUAAAUAGCUUGUAGUAUGAAAAUGCUGAAGACAGCCUUCUUUUCAUCUCCUGUGGGUCUCUUGUAAAGGAUUCUGGAAUCUUGGCUUUGGUUCUUCAUGCAGAGUCCUCACAAUAUCCACAUCUGGGUUAUGAAUGUAGCUGAGAACAGAUCUGCUUUAGAUCUUCAUGGCUAAUAAUAACUUCAAGAAACAAAUACUUCUAGCAGAAGAAUGUUUGUGUGGUCUCUAAAACAGACCAAGACAAAAAGGAGAAUCCUGUAGUAUUGAAAUAGCCUUGAACUGGUAUCAGAUGCCAGAGUUGUUCAAGCAAUUUUCUCUCAAUUGACAAAGAAUUUAUUUUUUAACUUCUCGAUAAAUUCUCUCUGUCACAGUGAAAAUUCCUAUCUCAUCUUUCUUUUGUGAUAUCUGCAUAUCCUCACAGAUAAUCUACAUUGUAUUCAACACAGUCUCUAUUUUUAAAAGGGCACUUUGCAGAGCUUAUUGUUUCCACUGUUUCCUUUCUGUAAUAAUAAAUGAGGUCCUUUUCACUAGCAUACAUUUUUAAUCAUAUUUUCUUGAUAGCAGGAUGUUACCUGUUUAAAUAGCACUGUUCAGUUUUUCUUAAUAACUGGUAAAUGAUGAAUCUGUUUUAAACAGCUAAUUACUUUUAGUACACCUGCAUCUUGUAAAAAUACCAGCAAUAGCCAAAAUAUGACUACUUCAGGCACAGGAAAACCUCGUAAUUUAAAUGUUUGAGUAAACAUAUCAAACACAUUUUGGGUGGGAGGAAGAGAAAACUGAUGGUUGGACACUUUUAUUUUUAAAUGUCAUGUGGGUUGUGCUAAGUUGUGAAAUAGUAACUAAAAAUGAGAGGAGGAAAAGAGAUUGGCAAUGUUUCCCCAUUCUUCUAAGAGGAAGCAGCAUCGCACAGCUGACCUGGGAAUGUGUGCCAAGAGAUGACAUGAGUGUCUUGGAUUCAAGCGAAUGUUGCUGUGGUCUUUGCAGUGUCUGAGGGGUAGGGUGAGGCUGGGAGGAGGAAUUCAGGAUUUCCAGUGUUUGAACAGAACAGGAAACAAGAGUCAAGUGAACCUUCUGAUGGAAGGUGGAGGAAGUCAAAGUGACAGAAAAUUCAUUGCAGGUCUCAACAUUGACUUGCCUUGAGUGUGAACUUGGUCCUGGGUGCCUGAAAGAAAAAGAAAAUUCUAGUUGGGUUCUAAUGUUUUACACUGCAAGAGAGGAAACAUUGGAAUAGGCAAUGCCCUAGAUGGGCUGUGGUGUUUCACAUCACACAAUCCCAUCUGCACUGAAAACAGGUGAGUUCAACAGUAAAUUCAUAGCUUCGAAUUUAUUGAAGUUCAUGUGGCUUUAAAAUCCCAUGCAUCACUGCAGGCUUGGGGAAGACGGGCUUGAGAGCUGCUCAGCAGAAUGAGACCUGGGGAUGCUGGCUGACAGCUGUGUGGACAUGAGCCAGCAGUGUGCCCAGGGGUGGCUAAGAAGACCAAUGGCAUCCUGGCUUAUAUUAGAAACUGUGUGGCCAGCAGGAGCAGGGCAGUGAUUUAAAUGCACAUCUGUACCUGUGUAAUUAAGACAACACAAAUUCUUUUGCUUUCUCAUUCCCUGCAUCCACCCAACAGUAAAAGUUUAAAACUAUCAACACCUUAAAUAGAGAGACAGAAAGAUGUCUUUCAUAUAUCCUCAUAUGACAGUAAAAGACAUAAGAGUUAAACAGAUACAGGAAUGUAGUGGUAACAGGUUUUUAAAAGAAUUAAAUAGCUGGUUUGCUCUGCCUUACUCAUUAAGUACAGCCAUGUAUUAAACUUCUUAUUUGCAGUAAAGUAACCAGUAACAGACAUGUUUAGGUUAUAUUUUUUCCAGAGACAAGUCCCUGCAAAUAACUGUAUUAACUAUAUUUGCACACCCACGUAGGUAUAAUAGGUGUUUGCCUAUUAUUGUUUCGGAUACUUGUUGAACAACCAAAGAGGGUUUCUGGAGUCUCUGACACAUUUGAAAAACAGAGCUUGAAUGGGAGGCUGAGGUUCAUGUCAGUCAUGCAGGGCAGAGUGUAUUUGUUAUCAAACCAUAUGACAAAGGAUCAGAGUUUGGGGGAUUACUUUGGAGGCUUUCCAGGCACGUAAAAGGAAUGUUCAGUCUUUCUACUUUGAUGUAAACUCAGUUUUCAAGUUCCUGUUGAACUUGGGUUCUUCCCAGCCUCCCCCUCAAUAUUCUGUUGGAUCUGUAAUCCUUGAUAUUUCAGUAAGGGAAAACUUUGGUGUUUUGGGGUAGCUGAUUUUCAGUUGCUGCUCUUUAUACACAUUUUAUCAGAACUAAAAUAAUGCUGAGGUAGCACAGUGGCACAGUUAGUAUUAAGAAGGGGGGGGAUUUGGGUGCAGCUGCACUUUUGCUGUCAUUAUCCAUUUUCACAUGUUGCGACCAGAAAGGUUUUGGCUUCCUCUGCCAAGAAGCAGAUUCAUUUAUGUUACUCCAAUUGUGAAAUUGAAUUUUCCUUUUUAAAUACUGCAUCAUAAAGUUCUGGUUCAGGGUCAGGAAAACUUUUUUCCAAAAUAUUUUGAGUCUCUUUCCCACAGAAACAGAAUGGGAAUUGAGUAGGUAUUAAAUCAAGCAGCAUCUGAAUACAUAAUUAGUCACCCAAGCCUCAAAUAGAAAGCCACUUGGAAGCUUACAUUUUCUUAUUCCAUUCUCAAGCCAAACAAGUGUCUAAUAACAACAUUAAUUUUGGAAUUUGGAACUGUUUUUUUCACUACCAUAAAAAGAUACACUUGAUAACCAUUAAUACAGUUGUACAGUAUAGCUAUUCCAGUAGUAGUUUAC